UACGAAGGGGGCUAGCGUUGUUCGGAUUUACUGGGCGUAAAGCGCACGUAGGCGGAUCGUUAAGUCGGGGGUGAAAUCCUGGAGCUCAACUCCAGAACUGCCUUCGAUACUGGCGAUCUCGAGUCCGGAAGAGGUGAGUGGAACUCCUAGUGUAGAGGUGGAAUUCGUAGAUAUUAGGAAGAACACCAGUGGCGAAGGCGGCUUUCUGGU
rnacentral:rRNA from 1 species